CAGCAGUGGGAAUAUUGCACAAUGGGGAAACCUGAUGCAGCCAUGCCGCGUGUGUGAAGAAGGCCUUCGGGUUGUAAAGCACUUUCAGUAGGGAGGAAGGUAGUGUAGUUAACACCUGCAUUAUUUGACGUUACCUACAGAAGAAGCACCGGCUAACUCCGUGCCAGCAGCCGCGGUAAUACGGAGGGUGCGAGCGUUAAUCGGAAUUACUGGGCGUAAAGCGCAUGCAGGCGGCCUGUUAAGUCAGAUGUGAAAGCCCGGGGCUUAACCUCGGAAUUGCAUUUGAAACUGGCAGGCUAGAGUCUUGUAGAGGGGGUAGAAUUUCAGGUGUAGCGGUGAAAUGCGUAGAGAUCUGAAGGAAUACCAGUGGCGAAGGCGGCCCCCUGGACAAAGACUGACGCUCAGAUGCGAAAGCGUGGGGAGCAAACAGGAUUAGAUACCCUGGUAG
rnacentral:rRNA from 1 species